rnacentral:rRNA from 1 species
GAUGAACGCUGGCGGCGUGCCUAAUACAUGCAAGUCGAGCGAACAGAUGAGGAGCUUGCUCCUCUGACGUUAGCGGCGGACGGGUGAGUAACACGUGGAUAACCUACCUAUAAGACUGGGAUAACUUCGGGAAACCGGACCUAAUACCGGAUAAUAUAUUGAACCGCAUGGUUCAAUAGUGAAAGACGGUUUUGCUGUCACUUAUAGAUGGAUCCGCGCCGCAUUAGCUAGUUGGUAAGGUAACGGCUUACCAAGGCAACGAUGCGUAGCCGACCUGAGAGGGUGAUCGGCCACACUGGAACUGAGACACGGUCCAGACACCUACGGGAGGCAGCAGUAGGGAAUCUUCCGCAAUGGGCGAAAGCCUGACGGAGCAACGCCGCGUGAGUGAUGAAGGUCUUCGGAUCGUAAAACUCUGUUAUUAGGGAAGAACAAAUGUGUAAGUAACUAUGCACGUCUUGACGGUACCUAAUCAGAAAGCCACGGCUAACUACGUG